rnacentral:lncRNA from 1 species
UUUAUUUUGUUUAAUUCAUAUUAAUUUCAUUUUUAAUCCAAAAACUAUGGGACUUUCACCAAAAAUCUUUAAAUAUUUUCCUCUUUUAUUUUCUAAAUUUAAAUUAUACUUUUGAUUAAUUUUGAUAUUUUUCAUGAAUUAAUAGUUUUGUGCAUAUUUUUAAUUAUUUAAAAAUACUUCUGACUUUUCAAAAUUCAUGAAAUUUUUUGUCUAAGGUCCUUUGACCUUG